GAGACCGAUCCUACGGAGGCAGCAGUGGGGAAUAUUGCACAAUGGGCGCAAGCCUGAUGCAGCCAUGCCGCGUGUAUGAAGAAGGCCUUCGGGUUGUAAAGGUACUUUCAGCAGUGAGGAAGGUGGGUAUGUUAAUAGCAUACUCAUUUGACGUUAGCUGCAGAAGAAGCACCGGCUAACUCCGUGCCAGCAGCCGCGGUAAUACGGAGGGUGCGAGCGUUAAUCGGAAUUACUGGGCGUAAAGCGCAUGCAGGUGGUUUGUUAAGUCAGAUGUGAAAGCCCGGGGCUCAACCUCGGAAUUGCAUUUGAAACUGGCAAACUAGAGUACUGUAGAGGGGGUAGAAUUUCAGGUGUAGCGGUGAAAUGCGUAGAGAUCUGAAGGAAUACCGGUGGCGAAGGCGGCCCCCUGGACAGAUACUGACACUCAGAUGCGAAAGCGUGGGGAGCAAACAGGAUUAGAUACCCUGGUAG
rnacentral:rRNA from 1 species